rnacentral:rRNA from 1 species
ACUCCUACGGGAGGCAGCAGUGGGGAAUAUUGGGCAAUGGAGGAAACUCUGACCCAGCGACGCCGCGUGCGGGAUGAAGGCCUUCGGGUUGUAAACCGCUUUCAGCAGGGACGAAGCGAAAGUGACUGUACCUGCAGAAGAAGCACCGGCCAACUACGUGCCAGCAGCCGCGGUAAUAC